CCUCUUCUGCAGUUCUCUGCAUUUCCUAAGCCUGCUCUAAUCAAGUUUCUUGUCCUGCUUCAUAGAGCAGAUCACUCUGUGACAGUGUCCUGGAUUCCAAGCUCCUGUUCUCUGUAUCCAUGCUGCGGCAAGUUAUGGAAAAAAAACUCCCUGCCGCUCCAAUUGUGAGCGCUGCAGCUCUGAGAUGACCUUGUGGAAACACCAAACCAUUGCUCACCUGCCUGUCCACCCUCCAACACCACGUGGUCAGCUGAAGCACUGCCGCAUAAGGAUCACAAAGAGAGAAAGUCAGCACUGUGAAUCUCAGUGAUACUCCUCCUGCCAAACUCAGCUCAGCCUCCAUGGGGCAGAUUUAUCACCUCCAUCAAGCCAUCAUCCACCACCAACAUGCCAAUCUAGAUCCCUCCAGCAGCUCCAGUCCGUAUCCUACGUUGUUUUGAACAUACUCCAAAUAAACUGUUAAACUGC